GGUUAAUUGAGCAGCUGACUUCUAAUCAGCAGGUUGAGGGUUCGAGUCCUUCAGGGAUCG
rnacentral:tRNA from 1 species